UUAAUUUGUUUGUAAUAUUAUAUUAGUGAAGAGAUAUUUAGCGAUUACGCACAAGGAAUCCGGUUAGAAUCCGGAACAGCUACCUCUACUGUAUUUAAGUAAGGUUCGAUUACAUGCCACUUAACGGGAAGGCAAUCGAAUUUGAAGCUUAUAAGUCAGGAUACUUGAAAUGUCUCAAAAUAUUUU
rnacentral:ncRNA from 2 species